rnacentral:rRNA from 1 species
CCUACGGGCGGCAGCAGUGAGGAAUAUUGGUCAAUGGACGCAAGUCUGAACCAGCCAUGCCGCGUGCAGGAAGACGGCUCUAUGAGUUGUAAACUGCUUUUGUACGAGGGUAAACGCAGAUACGCGUAUCUGUCUGAAAGUAUCGUACGAAUAAGGAUCGGCUAACUCCGUGCCAGCAGCCGCGGUAAUACGGAGGAUUCAAGCGUUAUCCGGAUUUAUUGGGUUUAAAGGGUGCGUAGGCGGUCGGAUAAGUUAGAGGUGAAAUCCCGAGGCUCAACUCCAUCCAGCCGUUGAAACUGAUGAUCUUGAGUGGGCGAGAAGUAUGCGGAAUGCGUGGUGUAGCGGUGAAAUGCAUAGAUAUCACGCAGAACUCCGAUUGCGAAGGCAGCAUACCGGCGCCCGACUGACGCUGAAGCACGAAAGCGUGGGUAUCGAACAGGAUUAGAUACCCGGGUAGUC